UCUACUUUUUGCAUCUUCUUCUCCUUUGAUU
rnacentral:sRNA from 1 species